GAAACACUGGGGUUACUAGGAGGAUAUUAGGGGAAACACUGGGGUUACUAGGGAAAAUGCUGGGGUUACUAGCGGGAUAUUAGGGGAAACACUGGGGUUAUUAGGGGGAUAUUAGGGGAAACUGGGGGGAAACUGGGGAUAUUAGGGAAAACACUGGGGUUACCAGGAGGUUAUUAGGGGAAACACUGGGGUUAUUAGGAGGAUAUUAGGGGAAACACUGGGGUUACUAGGGGGAUAUUAGGGAAAACACUGGGGUUACUAGGGGGAUAUUAGGGAAACGCUGGGGUUACUAGUGUCACGCCCUGGUCAAAGUAUUUUGUGUUUAUCUUCAUUUAUUUGGUCAGGCCAGGGUGUGGCAUGGGUUUUUGUAUGUGGUGUGUAUGUAUUGGGAUUGUAGCUUAGUGGGGUUGUCUAGUAAAGACUAUGGCUGCCUGAGGCGGUUCUCAAUCAGAGUCAGGUGAUCGUUGUCUCUGAUUGGGAACCAUAUUUAGGCAGCCAUAUUCUUUGAGUUUUUCGUGGGUGAUUGUCCUUAGUGUCCUUGUUCCUGUCUCUGUGUUAGUUUACACUAGUAUAGGCUGUUUCGGUUUUCCUUACGUUUAUUGUUUUGUAGUGUUUGUAUUUAGAUUCGUGUUACGUUUGUUCAUUAAAAAUGGAUCGCA
ensembl:lncRNA